ensembl:lncRNA
CGGUGUCUUGCUGACUAUCACAAGUUCACGGGCGUUAGUAACGUAACGUUAAUGUGACGCACACAAAAUGUAUGGUCACAUUUGUAUUUAAUUUGGAUUAAUUUGGAAUGAAGAACAUGUCUUCAUUGUGUGUGGCGCUACCUAUGGCCAGUAGGUGGCAGUGCAGCGCUGUGGUUUCGCUCCGCCGCCCUCUGUAUUUGCGCGUAUAGCGUCUCAUUGCUUGAGAAGACGCUGACAGAAGAAGCCACACGUCUGCCUGUGUCAUUCAUUUCUAUUUUUAUCAGGUCAGUAACCGGUCAAGUGCAUUAAGCAAAUUUGAAUAAACAAUUAGAUGAUCGGAUUUAACUACCUAAUAUUUUUAGGGAUUCCUGGGUUUUGUUUAGUAGCUAAUGUUACGUUGCUGAGAAAGGCCGACUGCUGAGCGCUAGCUAGAAUGCUAGUAGCCCUGUGUAACCUUGUUUUAUCUGGCUCCUAUACACUAAUCUAAUUAUUAGUGACAGAAGAAGCCACACGUCUGCCUGUGUCAUUAAUUUCUAUUUUUCUCAGUGACGUCGUGGUUUCGAUGGUCUCCUCUCGGCCUGACGUCACGCCGCGCUGCCUGUGAACGCUGGUUUCAGGAUGCUGGUGAAGACGCUGUUUCACGGGACCUUAUAAUACAAAACAUGAAAAUCUACAGGAACAAGACGAACACGUCGGAGAGUCCAGACGUCUGUAUCGUGUUGGAUGGACCAAAAGUUCUGACUGCACUGAGGGACUUUGCAAGGGCUUGCUGUCUGCUGGUUGGGUUUGCGUAUGCAGUCAAUCUUGCACACUCAAAGAAACUUAAACACAUUUAAGGUUGUCCAAGUUUUCUUGGGCCGUUUCUCAAUACCUAAGACGGCGAGAACGGACUCGCGUUCCCGCGAGAAUAGACUCGGGAGUCCUGACUCACGGGUACGGGAGAAUGGACAUUUCCGCAAUUGGAACAGCAGCUGACUUGAUGACGUCACCACAGUAGGCGGUCUUUGUUUACGCACGCAAGUAUCUCAUCUGCCAUCGCAGCUUGCUGAGGUGAAAUGCAUUCUGGGACAUAUGUCUCUCACAAGAACAGACGAGCCUGCUUCGAUGCAUGCCCGGUAAAAUGGGCGGGGCAAGUCACAUCGGGGUAUUAUGACUCUCGGCCAGAUGCAGACUUGAGAAUUGGAACAGUACUCGGGCUGUGACUGAUGACGUUUCACGAGUCCACGAGAACAGAAGUCCACACAAGAACGCAUAUUGAGAAACGGCCUUGGAGCUGGACUGUUCAAACCUUUGACCCUUGGAGAAAAAAAGGGAAUUGUUGUUACUGUUUGUUCAAUGCAUGUUAAUUAUAUUUAAGAUUCACAUUGAGAAGUUUAGGUUUGGCUCUUUCAGUUUUUUUCAGUUUUAGUGUUGCUAUCUAGUGUUAAUGCUGCUUUAUUUGUGUUGUUCAAAUGUAAAUAAACCAUGCUCAUUUAAUGCAGCUUUUCCUGUAUGUAUUUAUAGAAAUUUGCACAAAUAAAGCUUAACCUGCUGUAUGA